AUUGAACGCUGGCGGCAGGCCUAACACAUGCAAGUCGAGCGGGGUUUUCGGACCUAGCGGCGGACGGGUGAGUAAUGCGUAGGAAGCUACCCGAUAGAGGGGGAUACCAGUUGGAAACGACUGUUAAUACCGCAUAAUGUCUACGGACCAAAGUGUGGGACCUUCGGGCCACAUGCUAUCGGAUGCGCCUACGUGGGAUUAGCUAGUUGGUGGGGUAAUGGCUCACCAAGGCGACGAUCCCUAGCUGGUUUGAGAGGAUGAUCAGCCACACUGGAACUGAGACACGGUCCAGACUCCUACGGGAGGCAGCAGUGGGGAAUAUUGGACAAUGGGCGCAAGCCUGAUCCAGCCAUGCCGCGUGUGUGAAGAAGGCCUUCGGGUUGGUUAAAGG
rnacentral:rRNA from 1 species